rnacentral:rRNA from 1 species
AGAGUUUGAUCCUGGCUCAGAACGAACGCUGGCGGCAGGCUUAACACAUGCAAGUCGAACGGUUGUAGCAAUACAGCAGUGGCGCACGGGUGAGUAACGCGUGGGAACGUGCCUUUCAGUACGGGAUAACGUCGGGAAACUGACGCUAAUACCGUAUAUUCUCUACGGAGGAAAGAUUUAUCGCUGAAAGAUCGGCCCGCGUAAGAUUAGGUAGUUGGUGGGGUAAUGGCCUACCAAGCCUACGAUCUUUAGCUGGUCUGAGAGGAUGAUCAGCCACACUGGAACUGAGACACGGUCCAGACUCCUACGGGAGGCAGCAGUGGGGAAUAUUGGACAAUGGGCGAAAGCCUGAUCCAGCCAUGCCGCGUGAGUGAUGAAGGCCUUAGGGUUGUAAAGCUCUUUUGUCAGGGAAGAUAAUGACGGUACCUGAAGAAUAAGCACCGGCUAACUUCGUGCCAGCAGCCGCGGUAAUACGAAGGGUGCUAGCGUUGUUCGGAAUCACUGGGCGUAAAGCGCGCGUAGGCGGCGUCGCAAGUCAGGGGUGAAAUCCCGGGGCUCAACCCCGGAAUUGCCUUUGAAACUGCGAUGCUAGAGUGUCGGAGGGGAUAGCGGAAUUCCUAAUGUAGAGGUGAAAUUCGUAGAUAUUAGGAGGAACACCGGUGGCGAAGGCGGCUAUCUGGACGACAACUGACGCUGAGGCGCGAAAGCGUGGGGAUCAAACAGGAUUAGAUACCCUAGUAGUCC